CGAACGAGAACCGGAUUAUAGCUUGCUAUAAUUGUCAGCUAAGUGGCGCACCGGGUGAGUAAUGUAUAGAUAACCUGCCCUCUAGAAAGGAAUAACAGUUGGAAACGACUGCUAAUGCCCUAUAUGCCUUUAAUACAUAAGUAUGCAAGGGAAACGCUUUAGUGCUAGAGGAAUGGGUCUGUAUGGUAUCAGCUUGUUGGUGAGGUAAUGGCUCACCAAGGCUAUGACGCCUAACUGGUUUUGAGAGGAUGAUCAGUCACACUGGAACUGAGACACGGUCCAGACUCCUACGGGAGGCAGCAGUGGGGAAUCUUGCGCAAUGGGCGAAAGCCUGACGCAGCCAUGCCGCGUGUAUGAUGAAGGUCUUAGGAUUGUAAAAUACUUCACCGGUGAAGAUAAUGACUGUAGCCGGAGAAGAAGCCCGGCUAACUUCGUG
rnacentral:rRNA from 1 species